rnacentral:rRNA from 1 species
CAGCCGCCGCGGUAAUACGAAGGGGGCUAGCGUUGUUCGGAUUUACUGGGCGUAAAGCGCACGUAGGCGGACUUUUAAGUCAGGGGUGAAAUCCCGGGGCUCAACCCCGGAACUGCCUUUGAUACUGGGAGUCUUGAGUUCGAGAGAGGUGAGUGGAAUUGCGAGUGUAGAGGUGAAAUUCGUAGAUAUUCGCAGGAACACCAGUGGCGAAGGCGGCUCACUGGCUCGACACUGACGCUGAGGUGCGAAAGCGUGGGGAGCAAACAGGAUUAGAUACCCCAGUAGUCCCUGUCUCUUAUAC